rnacentral:rRNA from 3 species
CAGCAGCCGCGGUAAUACGUAGGGCGCAAGCGUUGUCCGGAAUUAUUGGGCGUAAAGAGCUCGUAGGCGGUUUGUCGCGUCUGGUGUGAAAACUCGAGGCUCAACCUCGAGCUUGCAUCGGGUACGGGCAGACUAGAGUGCGGUAGGGGAGACUGGAAUUCCUGGUGUAGCGGUGGAAUGCGCAGAUAUCAGGAGGAACACCGAUGGCGAAGGCAGGUCUCUGGGCCGCAACUGACGCUGAGGAGCGAAAGCAUGGGGAGCGAACAGGAUUAGAUACCCUGGUAGUCCAUGCCGUAAACGUUGGGCACUAGGUGUGGGGCUCAUUCCACGAGUUCCGUGCCGCAGCAAACGCAUUAAGUGCCCCGCCUGGGGAGUACGGCCGCAAGGCUAAAACUCAAAGGAAUUGACGGGGGCCCGCACAAGCGGCGGAGCAUGCGGAUUAAUUCGAUGCAACGCGAAGAACCUUACCAAGGCUUGACAUGCACGAGAAGCCACCAGAGAUGGUGGUCUCUUUGGACACUCGUGCACAGGUGGUGCAUGGUUGUCGUCAGCUCGUGUCGUGAGAUGUUGGGUUAAGUCCCGCAACGAGCGCAACCCUCGUCCCAUGUUGCCAGCGGGUUAUGCCGGGGACUCAUGGGAGACUGCCGGGGUCAACUCGGAGGAAGGUGGGGAUGACGUCAAAUCAUCAUGCCCCUUAUGUCUUGGGCUUCACGCAUGCUACAAUGGCCGGUACAAAGGGCUGCGAUACCGUAAGGUGGAGCGAAUCCCAAAAAGCCGGUCUCAGUUCGGAUUGGGGUCUGCAACUCGACCCCAUGAAGUCGGAGUCGCUAGUAAUCGCAGAUCAGCAACGCUGCGGUGAAUACGUUCCCGGGCCUUGUACACACCGCCCGUCAAGUCACGAAAGUCGGUAACACCC